rnacentral:tRNA from 1 species
GGAGAGAUGUCUGAGUGGCUUAAGGAGCACGCUUGGAAAGCGUGUGUAGGGCAUUUCCCUACCGAGGGUUCGAAUCCCUCUCUCUCCG